UAGGGAAUCUUCCACAAUGGACGAAAGUCUGAUGGAGCAACGCCGCGUGAGUGAUGAAGGGUUUCGGCUCGUAAAACUCUGUUGUUGGAGAAGAACAGGUGUGAGAGUAACUGUUCACAUCUUGACGGUAUCCAACCAGAAAGCCACGGCUAACUACGUGCCAGCAGCCGCGGUAAUACGUAGGUGGCAAGCGUUGUCCGGAUUUAUUGGGCGUAAAGCGAGCGCAGGCGGUUUCUUAGGUCUGAUGUGAAAGCCUUCGGCUUAACCGGAGAAGUGCAUCGGAAACCAGGAGACUUGAGUGCAGAAGAGGACAGUGGAACUCCAUGUGUAGCGGUGAAAUGCGUAGAUAUAUGGAAGAACACCAGUGGCGAAGGCGGCUGUCUGGUCUGUAACUGACGCUGAGGCUCGAAAGCAUGGGUAGCGAACAGGGAUUAGAUACCCUG
rnacentral:rRNA from 1 species